ACAGGUGGCUGCAUGGCUGUCGUCAGGCUCGUGUCGUGAGAUGUUGGGUUAAGGUCCCGUAACGAGCGCAACCCUUGCCUUUAGUUGCCAGCAGUUCGGCUGGGCACUCUAAAGGGACUGCCGGUGUUAAACCGGAGGAAGGUGGGGAUGACGUCAAGUCCUCAUGGCCUUUAUGACCAGGGCUACACACGUACUACAAUGGCCGAUACAAAGGGCAGCGACACUGCGAGGUGAAGCCAAUCCCGUAAAAUCGGUCUCAGUCCGGAUUGGAGUCUGCAACUCGACUCCAUGAAGUUGGAAUCGCUAGUAAUCGUGGAUCAGCAUGCCACGGUGAAUACGUUCCCGGGCCUU
rnacentral:rRNA from 1 species